CUCAUUUUCUGUAUUGCCUUUGAAGAAAGGCCCCCUAUUGUUGUUGGAGAAGACAACCAUCGACUGGAGAACUCGAUGAAAAAUGAGAAUACGAGGGUUUUUGCUCUUUAGAGAACAAGAAGAUAAGAAACCUCAAUCUCUCUUUCAGAUUCCAUUCUCUUGCAAUCUCAUUGUAUGUUAUAUAUAUAUAUAUAUAAUUUUCUAUCUUUUUGUUCUAGGAUAUCUAUGUUAAAAAACACUAAUAUUUUCCCAUCCACAGGCCUCGACGAGCUUCCCUUUGCCUUGGAGAUAUUAAGGUUUUAGCUUUUCCCCUUUUCAUUUCCAUCACGCUCAGAUCCCCUCUAUUGGGGACGGUUUACAGAUGAGUUGGUAGUUUCUGAAAUGAUCAUUUUGCUGUUGCCCUCUUUUUCUUCUCAUCUGUUUGAAUUGCAGAUUUGUAAAAUCUCUCUCUCUCACCGAAACAAUCGCCACUCAAAAAUCAAAAUCCUCCACUUAAGAAUCAAAAUCCAAUCUCCACUCUCUCUCACUGGAUGAUGUUGGUCACGUUGCCAGUGAUGGGUUUGUGUGCGUCGGUGGAGAGCAGAGCACAGGCGUCGCCGGUGGGUGGUUGGUUGGUUUGGGUAGAACAAAGAAGGAGCAAAUCAUGUUUCCCCUUGGCUUUCUGUCUCUAAAUUUUUAUUUUAGAUCUAAAAUAUUAUCAAUUUAUCAUUUAUCACACCUGUACAUGACCUGUAAACCUCCCCUGUACAAUAGCUUUUUCAUUGAUUUAAAGCUCUGCAUUAUGGGUUUUGUAAUUUAUAUUGAUGUCCGGCCAAAUACUUUUAUGGGUUCUCUAUGUGCGUGUGAAGAUUCAAACUAACUUUCCUAAUCUUUUUGUAUGUUUGUAUUUUCUUUUUAAAUGCAGCUCUCUUUUAACUUAUAUAAUGUUUUUAAGUUCAUGAAGUGAUAGGAUAAAAUAUAUUUUGAGUUAUUAGUUAUAAAAUUAUGUGUUUAGUAAAAAAAAAAAAAAAAAAAACUUAUUGUAAGUUAUGAAAAAUUGUAAAUAAAUUCAUUAAAAAAUAAUUAUAAUAAAAAAUUACAAUUAAUUAUAUUUUAUAACUAUACAUGGUAACAAGAAGGAUAACAUAUAUUAUGAUUUCAAUCUCUAUGAUUAAUGGGCAAUAAAUGUACUUUUGUUUUUAGCAUUUAAUCAAUCUAAUUGAUUGGUUAAAUGUCAUCUUAUAUCUAAAAAUAAUAUGCACGGCAAUGGUUAGAAUUACUCAUUUAAUUGAUACAUUUAUGUUUAAUAAA